UACGUAGGGUGCGAGCGUUAAUCGGAAUUACUGGGCGUAAAGCGUGCGCAGGCGGUUCGUUGUGUCGGCGGGGAAAGCCCCGGGCUUAACCUGGGAAUGGCCGUUGAAACUGGCGAACUGGAGUGUGGCAGAGGGGGGUGGAAUUCCGCGUGUAGCAGUGAAAUGCGUAGAGAUGCGGAGGAACACCGAUGGCGAAGGCAGCCCCCUGGGCUAACACUGACGCUCAUGCACGAAAGCGUGGGGAGCAAACAGG
rnacentral:rRNA from 1 species